UUCGAUGUCUGCAGCGCCCAGUCGACGCUGAAGUAGCGGCGCGGCUGGUCCGCUAGCGUUUGCGAUAGGGUGAAGUGUGGGCGACAGAGCCUGGAGCCCUUUGUCAGGUAACUGAACACACACACCUGCCCAGGAACUGGAGAAGCUGGAGGAGUCUCUCGAGGAAGGUGGAGUGAUGGCAGACCCAGCUGUUCCUCACAUGAAGGAGAUACCAGUUUAAGAAAUGAGUAACUGCAUAAUGUUUGAAGAUUUGAAGUGGGUGGUGACAUAAGCAGAAAGGGUUAAAGAUUACUGCUGUAUAUCACUGUGGUGACUGAAGAAAGGGCUUUGCUACUCUGAAUGCCAGAAUCUGAAGCCUUCAAUCUUGAACAAGACUAGACAUCUGCCAAGAAGUCCUUGACCUAAAUGUGAAAGAAUCGGAUUUGGAUAAUAUCCCUCCUCAAUAAUUAUGGGGGACUCCUCUGGUGGUCCAGCGACUAAGACUCCUUGCUCCCAAUGCUGGGGUUCAGUCCCUGGUCA